AUCUAUAACCCCUUUUUUUGUCCUGUCAGGGCACUUGGCUGGAUCACAGAUUGGUUGGGGAAGGAAAAAAGCAGUUGUUUUUAAAAUCCAGUUGCUUCUUCCCGAUUAUGUUUAUUUGCAGUUUUUUAAACUAGACCAGAUCCCAAAGGUCUCAAAUGCACCAGAUCCCAUCAGAUCUUGAAAGCUAAGCAGGGCCAGCUCUGGUUAGUACUUGGAUGGAAAACUGUCCAUGAAUACCAGGUGCCAUAGGCUAUAUCUCUUAGGAAGGAAAUUGUAAAUCCACUUCUGACUAUUUAUCUAAGAAACCCCUUUGAAAUUCAUGGGGCCACCAUAAGUCAACAGGCAACUUGAAGGCACAUAGACACAGGUCAAAAUUCUGAAAAGAGCAUUUUAUAACAUUUAUGAUAUUUUUUGUUAAAGUGAACUUUUAUGGCAAAUCUGGAACUUCAUGCUUGGGUGAAACACCUCAGAAAGCUUUGAUGAGAGUAGUGAACUGUAUUGGUGGGUGGGGGUAGAGGAAGAACUCAUAGGUCUCUUCCUGGGACAUAGACAACACAGGAAAGAAAGUAGUAAAAUUACAUCUGUGUAGCAGGUGCUAUUUGCUCCUCAUAAACCAUGUUUGUUCUUUUGGUGAUCUAGCAUAGAAAAAUUCACUGUGCAGAGUUGACAAUAAGACUGAAAAUUCCAAAAAAUCAACAAUAAGAUCUGAAGCUUGUCUUAUUGCCCGGCAGAUAUUUAUCAAUGGCAGCUAUAUAAAUUAAUAAAUCAAAACAUCUUGUGCCCAAAGUAAAAUGUUGAGAGGCUCAAAAUAUUUUUGCUCAAUGCAAUGAUAACAACCAUUCUGUCUCUGUAUGUGAUAAGAAUGUUGACUUUUUUUAGAGGAGUUCCAUACAUCCCUAAGUGUCGUAAUGUUUUCAGGAAGCACUGCUACUAUAAUAUCUCUUGUUUACUUCUUUUAUGAGUUGUUUGUACUUUAUGGUCUGAUGUUAAACUUUAGUGCCCAUCCUUGCCAAGAACCUGUCAUAGAAGGCAGUUAAUAUGUUGCACACUCAGCCACUUACGAAGCAUUUGUGUAUACUAUAAAUGUAAUGAGGGUUAACUACUGCACAUUGAAAAACGCACAGUUUAAUGCUUCAGGUUAAAGCACUGGCUGGCUAGAAAGAUCCAACAUCAUACCAUGAUCCACACCUAAAGAUGCAUGGACCUUCUUUUCAUCAAGAGCCAUUUAAUCAUAAAGUAAGAUUCCUAAACUUUCUCUGUACCUGAGUACAGAAUCUCUUCAUCAAACUAGAUGUGACAAGGAAGGGCAAUGUGUUUAAAUAUAAAUUUAGCUCACAAGCGAAGGACCAUAGCUCACCGGUGGAGACCUCACAUAGCAUGCAACAGCUCUCAUGUUCAGUCUCAAGCAUCUCCAAGUAAUUUUGGCAAAAAGAAUUUGGACUUUAAAUCCCUUUUCUCCUUCAGCAACUGAAUAUUAUGAACCAUCAUUCAAGAAAAGCUAUUCUGUGCCUGGGGCUUCAUCACUACAAGCCCAAUGCACUAUAGAGUUGACAGUUCUGUUUUGGAGAUCAAAGUAUGUGGCAUUUGUGUAUCUCAGUUAAAAGCUGUUCUCUGUUCUUCAUCUGCAAACAGAGUUGAUGAGCAUUGUUAGUUCAGAAGGCUGUGGAGUUUAGUUGUGAUGCCAUCAAGAGGCAGAUGCACAUUUAGCCCUGAGCAAUCCUCAAGGGAGGGGAAGACCAAGUGGAACAUUGCUUUGUAGCCAUCCAACCUUAGCGAUCCAGUUCAAAUAAGCAUUAAAUGGGUAGAAGUGCAGGCUGUGAAAUUCUAAGACAGAUACAAAAUGCCAAAGAUAAAAAAGAAUUUGAAAUUCGGAUCCUUUGCAAAAAAAUAUAUAAAAAAAAUAGAUGGCACCGAUGCAUUUGGUGUCAAGGAGUUAUUCUCAAAACCAAAAAUGUCCCCCAAAUGCUGCUUUUUUUAAAAAAAAAAUACAUAUUGCUGUGUUGCUACUAUUGUUUAAUUUUAGCACAAUCCCUGAACAUUUCACAAUAAUUUGGAAAUGUGUGUCUGAAUUGUCUAGGCUGGAAUAAAACAUAUUUUUAUGUA